UAUUCUAAGGAAGCCCUUGACCCGACAAUCCAAACUUGUGAUGUCACAUUGCUCUCAGUCUGCUAGUUGGCAACCAGCGCUUGAAAACAUCUGAUGCAGUGGGGUGGAUCCAGUCUGCUGCUUUUGCCAAGAAGGACCAACAAGAAAACUCAGCUCUGCCCUCAGGUGGUCGGGGUGCAGCUACGGAGUGCUACGGGUUUAAAAACAUCUGAGGAUGAGAGUAAAGACAAGGACUUUAGCAACAUUCUUGCAUGGAACUUGACCGGGAAAGAACUCGAAAGCCACAUACCAUACAUUUCAAUUUACCAGCAUGAUUUCAACCAACAGAAAAGCCCCGUACGUAGGCAGUUUUUCCUUCAAAACCACAAUUCACAAGAGGAAGCGAAGAAGUUUCAACAAGAAGUUUCAACAAACACCACCCAGUACAUAUCAACAACAUUUCUGCAACCUCAUAAGAACUACUAUCUGAGCAACACUAAGGAGUCAGAAGGUGUCAUGAAGCUGCCCACUGAAGGCCCUUCAAACAUCACAGAAAUUUUUCAAAGUCCUUCAAAAAGGAUGAAGGUUCAAACCACUGUUACCUGGCACUAAAGAGAGUUUUGACUAUCUGGCUGAGAUUCUUUCCCUUAGCUCAGGUCGAUGUGGCCAUCACCUCUUUAUCCAAGGUAAUGGACGGCACAGUACCAACCAAAUUUACAAACAUAAGAGUUGCAGCUAUUAUCACACAAUGGUCUCCAAAAGAAUACUGCUCCACUCUUUAGGCCUAAAUUUCUUUUUGUCCAAGUCAAGGGAGCACAGACAGAAAAGCACAGAAGAGGACAUCUUCAAUCGGUCAGUCAAUCGUACUUAUUAAGCGCUUACUAUGUGCAGAACGCUGUACUAAGUGCUCGGAAGAGUAUACUAUAACUAUAAACAGACCCAUUCCCUGCCCAUGACGGUUACAGUCUGGUGUGGGGGGGGGAUGGACAGGCAUUAAAAUAAGUAAAUAAAUAAAAUGCAUAUAUAUUGAUAUAGAUGAAUUACAGAUAUAAUAAAUACAUUGGAUAUAAUACAUUAGAGAUAUUUAUUUAUUUAUUGAGUGUUUAUUGUGUGCAGAGCACUGUACUAAGUGCUUGGGAGAGUAUAUAACAGAGUUGGUAGGCAUGUUCCCUGCCCACAAGGAGCUUACAGUCUAGAGGGGGAGACGGACAUUAAUAUAAAUAAAUUACACAUAGGUAAAUAAGUGCUGUGGGGCUGAGGGUGCAAGUCCAAGUGCAAUGGCAACGCAGAAGGGAGUGAGAAGAGGAACUGAGAGCUUAGAUGGGAAAGGCCAGUCUUCUCCUGUGAUUCUUAAUUUUAGAAACAUCAGAUUCACACAACUAUGAUUAAAUAGGAACAAGAUAGACAGUUGCAGAAGUGACACCUUCUAGAGAAGCAGCAUGGCUCAGUGGAAAGAGCAUGGGCUGGGGAGUCAGAGAUCAUGGGUUCAAAUCCCGGCUCUGCCGCUUGUCAGCUGUGUGACUUUGGACAAGACACUUCACUUCUCUGGGCCUCAGUUGUCUCAUCUGUAAAAUAGGCAUUAAGACUGUGAGCCCCACCUGGGACAAUCUGAUCACCUUUCAUCAACCCCAGCGCUUAGAACAGUGCUUUGCACAUAGUAAGCGCUUAACAGAUGUGAUCAUCAUUAUUAUUAUUACAUAUAGCCAGGCUAAGCUCAUCACUACACUGUAAACUUGAGGGCAGGGUCCAUGACUACCAACCUUAUUGGUACAACUCUAGAUUGUGAGCCCCACAAGGGACACCUGUGUAUUCUCUCCCGGCAUUUACUUCAGUGCUCUGUGUACAACAGUUAAUACUAUUACCACUAAUACUAUUUUUUUAAAGGUAUUUCAUCCAAUCAUAUUUGUUGAGCGCUUACUAUGUGCAGAGCCCUGUGCUAAGGGCUUGGGAGAGUACAAUAUAACAACAGACACAUUUUGUUCUGCUAUAGAUGUGUCCUGCUCCACAUUCUGCUAUAGGUGUGCUGAGUUUGAAGUGCCGGCAGGAUAGCCAACUGGAGAUGUCUUGGAGGCAAAAGGAGAUGCAGCAUUGCAAGUCAGAAGAGGGGGCUAGAGAUAGAGUUAGAUAUUGUCCACAGACACAGUCUUACAGAGACUGUAAGGCUCUAGACUACUAAAUAGACUACGGUCUAUUUGUUAAGCCCUUACUUUGUGCCUGGCUCUGUUCUAAGCGCUGGGGUAGAUAUUAGUUUAUUGGGUUG
rnacentral:lncRNA from 1 species